GUUAUCGUUUAUUUGAUAGUACCUAACUACUUGGAUAACCGUGGUAAUUCUAGAGCUAAUACAUGCUAAAAACCUCGACUUCGGAAGGGGUGUAUUUAUUAGAUAAAAAACCAAUGCCCUUCGGGGCUCCUUGGUGAUUCAUAAUAACUUAACGAAUCGCAUGGCCUUGCGCCGGCGAUGGUUCAUUCAAAUUUCUGCCCUAUCAAUUUUCGAUGUUAGAGUAGUGGUCUAACAUGGUUUCAACGGGUAACGGGGGAUUAGGGUUCUAUUUCCGGAGAGGGAGCCUGAGAAACGGCUACCACAUCCAAGGAAGGCAGCAGGCGCGCAAAUUACCCAAUUCCGACACGGAGAGGUAGUGACAAUAAAUACUGAUACAGGGCUCUUUUGGGUCUUGUAAUUGGAAUGAGUACAAUUUAAAUCUCUUAACGAGGAACAAUUGGAGGGCAAGUCUGGUGCCAGCAGCCGCGGUAAUUCCAGCUCCAAUAGCGUAUAUUAAAGUUGUUGCAGUUAAAAAGCUCGUAGUUGAACCUUGGGCCUGGCUGUCCGGUCCGCCUCACCGCGUGCACUGGUUCGGCCGGGCCUUUCCUUCUGGGGAGCCGCAUGCCCUUCACUGGGUGUGUCGGGGAACCAGGACUUUUACUUUGAAAAAAUUAGAGUGUUCAAAGCAGGCCUAUGCUCGAAUACAUUAGCAUGGAAUAAUAGAAUAGGACGUGUGGUUCUAUUUUGUUGGUUUCUAGGACCGCCGUA
rnacentral:rRNA from 1 species